ACUUUGUAGUACCCAGCUUCAGAGUUUGUCAGGACCAAAGCAGCUGUGCGAAUGCGUCGUCGUUCCUGAUUAGGCACUUCUGAUGUCGGAAGCGCGUUCAGACUCCUAAGCUGAAGAAAGUCAGGGAAUUUUGCAUUGUUGAGUCAGCGAAAUCCUGCACUUCAUCAUCUGUCCAAGAAGAGGACAGCAAAGCUGAGCAAGGUCAGAGAACUGAGCCGUCCAAGGAAGGUCCUUGCAGGUCAGUGGAGACACAGACGAAGCUGGACCGACAAGCAAGGCAGUCGCUCUGUAGGUUCAUGCUGAAGAAGACCCAGGAAGGUGCAAGUCAUUGCAUGGUGCAAAAUUAA
rnacentral:lncRNA from 1 species